GACGAACGCUGGCGGCGUGCCUAAUACAUGCAAGUAGAACGCUGAAGGAGGAGCUUGCUUCUCCGGAUGAGUUGCGAACGGGUGAGUAACGCGUAGGUAACCUGCCUGGUAGCGGGGGAUAACUAUUGGAAACGAUAGCUAAUACCGCAUAACAGUAGAUGUUGCAUGACAUUUGCUUAAAAGGUGCAAUUGCAUCACUACCAGAUGGAGCUGCGUUGUAUUAGCUAGUUGGGGAGGUAACGGCUCACCAAGGCGACGAUACAUAGCCGACCUGAGAGGGUGAUCCGCCACACUGGGAAUGAGACACGGCCCAGACUCCCACGGGAGGCAGCAGUAGGGAAUUUUCGGCAAUGGACGGAAGUCUGACCGAGCAACGCCGCGGGAGUGAAGAAGGUUUUCGGAUCGUAAAGCUCUGUUGUAUGAGAAGAACGAGUAUGAGAGUGGAAAGUUCACGUUGUGACGGUAGCUUACCAGAAAGGGACGGCUAACUACGUG
rnacentral:rRNA from 1 species